UCUGCCUAGUAGUGGGGGAUAACUUGCCGAAAGGUAAGCUAAUACCGCAUACGUCCUACGGGAGAAAGCAGGGGACCUUCGGGCCUUGCGCUAUUAGAUGAGCCUAGGUCGGAUUAGUUAGUUGGUGAGGUAAUGGCUCACCAAGACUGCGAUCCGUAACUGGUCUGAGAGGAUGAUCAGUCACACUGGAACUGAGACACGGUCCAGACUCCUACGGGAGGCAGCAGUGGGGAAUAUUGGACAAUGGGGGAAACCCUGAUCCAGCCAUGCCGCGUGUGUGAAGAAGGUCUUAGGAUUGUAAAGCACUUUAAGUUGGGAGGAAGGGCAGUUAACUAAUAUUUGACUGUUUUGACGUUACCGACAGAAUAAGCACCGGCUAACUUCGUGCCAGCAGCCGCGGUAAUACGAAGGGUGCAAGCGUUAAUCGGAAUUACUGGGCGUAAAGCGCGCGUAGGUGGUUCGUUAAGUUAGGAGUGAAAGCCCCGGGCUCAACCUGGGAAUUGCUUCUAAAACUGGCGGGCUAGAGUAUGGUAGAGGGUGGUGGAAUUUCCUGUGUAGCGGUGAAAUGCGUAGAUAUAGGAAGGAACAUCAGUGGCGAAGGCGACCACCUG
rnacentral:rRNA from 1 species